rnacentral:ncRNA from 1 species
UAUGCUUGUCUCAAAGAUUAAGCCAUGCAAGUCUAAGUACGAGCUCUCGUACAGUGAAACUGCGAAUGGCUCAUUAAAUCAGUUAUGGUUCAUUUGAUCGUACAGUUUACUUGGAUAACUGUGGUAAUUCUAGAGCUAAUACAUGCGAGAAGCGCCGACCUCGCGGGAGGCGUGCAUUUAUCAGACCAAAAACCGGCCGCGUCUUCGGGCGCGUUCGCCUUGGUGACUCUGGAUAACUUUGCGGAUCGCACGGUCUAGCACCGGCGACGGAUCAUUCAAGUGUCUGCCCUAUCAACUUUCGUCGGGACGGGAUUUGCCUACCGAGGUUCUUACGGGUGACGGGGAAUCAGGGUUCGAUUCCGGAGAGGGAGCCUGAGAAACGGCUACCACAUCCAAGGAAGGCAGCAGGCGCGCAAAUUACCCAGUUCCCGACGCGGGGAGGUAGUGACGAAAAAUAACGAUGCAGGGACUCGUUCGAGGCCCUGUAAUUGGAAUGAGUACACUUUAGGAGCUUUAGCGAGUAUCCAUUGGAGGGCAAGUCUGGUGCCAGCAGGCGCGGUAAUUGCCAGCUCGCGAAGUAUA